ensembl:snoRNA
GUGAGGGUUUGGAUUUAUGGCAGGUCCAUCCCUCUGGGCCUCUCAUCGUGUCCCAUGCUAGAGCACACUGGCCCCAAACCAUUGCCCAGUCUCUGCCUGUGGGCUGCUGGCACUGAAGGGGUUGCACAGGG